GUGAGGAAUAUUGCGCAAUGGAGGCAACUCUGACGCAGCCAUGCCGCGUGCAGGAAGAAGGCGCUACGCGUUGUAAACUGCUUUUAACCGGGAAGAAACCCCAGGACGUGUCCUGGGUUGACGGUACCGGAGGAAUAAGCACCGGCUAACUUCGUGCCAGCAGCCGCGGUAAUACGAAGGGUGCAAGCGUUAUCCGGAUUCAUUGGGUUUAAAGGGUGCGUAGGCGGAGCGUUAAGUCAGUGGUGAAAUCCUGCAGCUUAACUGUAGACUUGGCAUUGAUACUGGCGCUCUUGAGUGCGCUUGAAGUGGGCGGAAUGUGCCGUGUAGCGGUGAAAUGCUUAGAUAUGGCACAGAACACCAAUUGCGAAGGCAGCUCACUAAGGCGAUACUGACGCUGAGGCACGAAAGCGUGGGGAUCGAACAGGAUUAGAAACCCCUGUAGUCC
rnacentral:rRNA from 1 species